UCCAUUUCAUUUCAUCCAUAUCCCUCUCUGCUGCAAACCCUAGCCACCCCCUCAUUCCCUCGCCCGCUCCGCCGCCCGGAAAUCACCCUACGACGGCAGAGCUUCACCAAUUCCACCCAAAUUCACCCUCCACAAUCCCUAGCCUCCCCUCUACACUAUCCCACUGUCCAUUUCCCCAAAAUCACAACCCAAAUCCACCAAUUUUAGAUCUAAAAAUUAGACCAUAACCCUAGUUGACCCAAACAUCGCCAUACUCACACCACACAACCAUCUUUACCUCUUUUUCCCAUAUAUCCCAACUGUUUCUUUCAAAUAAUCCUAGAAUCCUCGAAUUUUAGAUCUAAAAAGCUAAACCCUAGUUUUUCUAUUUUUCUAUUAUCCAGUCAAUUUUUAGCAUGUUUGAACCCAAAAUUUCCAUUAGUCGAUUGUUCUUGUUGAGAAUAGUCGAUUAAUGGUAGUUCAAGUUCAUUUCACACCGUUGAAGCUUGUCCGAAGUCCUUAAUUGAUCAAAAUUUGAAGCAAGUCCUUGGUAAACCCUUUUUCAUUUUUCUUUUUGAUUUCGUCUCUUUCGUCUUCCUUCUUUUUUAGCUGUAUGUUGUAGGUUUGCAAUUUUAGGUUUCCUAUUCUUCACGUUUAUUUUGUCUGUUUAUUUGGCAUCUGGUUAUUAGAUUAAUUAAAGCAUGCUGGAAUUUUAGUAUUUGAAAUCUAUCUUCAAUUGCAUGAAUUUGGUUUAAUUAGGGUUUACUUUUAGUUUUGAUACAAAAAUGAUGCUUCUGUUUCUUCCAUGUUCUAUCUUAUGUUCAGUGUUUGUUUUAGGUUAAUUUCUAGUCUGUCUUAGCAGUUCCAUUUUUAAUUCUGGUUUGAUUACUGUUUAGGUGCAUUAGUCGUUUAAAUCUAGCUUGACUUAGGUUUAAUUAGAUGAACACUAUUAUUUAUUGAUUUGGUCAAUUUUAGGGUUUAAAAUUGCAUCAUUUCAACUAUGUUUGUCAUUUGGAUUUGGACUCUGAUUCCUUUCUGACCUGGUCUUUGUUUGCCAUGAUUUGUAACUCACUAGGAACUUGUAGGGACCUAAUUAAACUAAAGAAAAACUUUUGGGGAUUUCAGAACUUUAGAAAAUAAAAAUCUAAAAGAAGAAGGUUCUAGAAAUGUACCUGCUGUCCAAAAUUGGUUUGAAAAGAUGCUGAAAAUGGACAGCUGGAUAUUUUAUCCUCUGUCAAUAUGCUGUACUAUCCAAGAAUUAGGGUGGAAUAUUUUUUUAUGCCAUUUAGGAUAUACACUCUAUAAAAAGAAAAGAAAACUACACACUCACACACACACACAUUAAUCAGCAUCUCUGCACUUUAAAAACAUUCAGAAUACAAGGAACAAAUCCCUGUAAUUUUUCUGGAAAAACUUCAGUUUUCUAGGGUAGAAAGGUUAUUUUUUGGUACUCUAAUUUUCUAGGUAUUUUGACGUGCUGGUUCUUGGUUUUCUGGUUGUGCUUCUGGGUUGCUGCUAUUUCUGCUUUGGUGUUGCUCCAUUUUUCUAAUUUUCAGCCAGCUCUUCAUCUGUUUGUUGUUGUUUUGUUCAAGGUACUGACUUCAGCCUUCUUCAUGUAAUGCUUGUUUAAAUGAUACAAGACUAGAGCUGCAAAUUAUAUGUGAAAAAAUGAGUAUAUUUUCAUGCUAGUUGUAGUUUACAUUGAUAUGGAUUUGAUUAGUCUUAAUUAUGUGAGUUUAAAGCUAGAAGUAAUUUUGUAUGAAUAGCCUAGUUAAUACAUUGAUGCUUUGUAGUUUUCCUCUUAAAAAUAACCUUGUUUGAAGAUGUAUCUUUAGCAAAAUAUUCUGCAUGUUAAUGCUGAUUCUGGAUGAUGUUCAUUAAAGUCACUUCUUCCCUUUUUCUUCUGUUAAAUGAAUAAUAUAUUGUUUACUUGAUUUCAUUUAAGUUUUGUUUGCUAACCAUGAGAUAUAACUUGUGGAUUUGGCCACUACUUGGCCAAAUCAGCAGGUUCAAAAGCUAAGAGUUGAAAUUCUACUGUUGGUAACAUGCUGAAUUUGAUAUUUUCAUGUGUUGAACCAAGAUUUGAUGGAUAAAUCAUGUCUAAAAGAGGCAGGUGUUCAUUAAGUUAUUAAUUACAUGGAAGUUGUAAUAGAAUAGUUGUUAAUAUAGUAAUUUAUGUAUUUAAUAUGUAAUAAUGUAAUGUUCUGAUUUUGGAAAGCUUUAUUUUCAUCCGGAGUACUGUAAUGAGUUAGGUUCUGAUUUUAUGUAAUGAGAUUAAAUCAACUGUUGGUAGGAGUGUAAUUAUUUUGUUAUGGUAUUUUCGUAAGCAUAGUGGUGAAAUGGCCAAGGCUAUGGGCCAGAUCUUCAAGAAUAAAAGGCAUGUUUCUGCGAUUCUAGCUGGGCCAGACUUGCUAUUGAGCCCAGAUGGGAAAAAAAACCUCGACAAGUCUUGGCCUAGGACGUUGGGCCUAGGCAUUAAACCCAAUAACUUGGCUCAGUUAUAAAGGUUCCCUUGUGAGCUAUAGUAUAAAUGCAUGUCCC
rnacentral:lncRNA from 1 species